ACACAUGCAGUCGAGCGGUACAGGUCCUUCGGGAUGCUGACGAGCGGCGGACGGGUGAGUAAUGCAUAGGAAUCUGCCCGGUAGUGGGGGAUAACCUGGGGAAACCCAGGCUAAUACCGCAUACGUCCUACGGGAGAAAGGGGGCUUCGGCUCCCGCUAUUGGAUGAGCCUAUGUCGGAUUAGCUAGUUGGUGAGGUAAUGGCUCACCAAGGCGACGAUCCGUAGCUGGUCUGAGAGGAUGAUCAGCCACAUCGGGACUGAGACACGGCCCGAACUCCUACGGGAGGCAGCAGUGGGGAAUAUUGGACAAUGGGGGCAACCCUGAUCCAGCCAUGCCGCGUGUGUGAAGAAGGCCCUCGGGUUGUAAAGCACUUUCAGCGAGGAAGAACGCCUGGCGGUUAAUACCCGCCAGGAAAGACAUCACUCGCAGAAGAAGCACCGGCUAACUCCGUGCCAGCAGCCGCGGUAAUACGGAGGGUGCAAGCGUUAAUCGGAAUUACUGGGCGUAAAGCGCGCGUAGGUGGCUUGAUAAGCCGGUUGUGAAAGCCCCGGGCUCAACCUGGGAACGGCAUCCGGAACUGUCAGGCUAGAGUGCAGGAGAGGAAGGUAGAAUUCCCGGUGUAGCGGUGAAAUGCGUAGAGAUCGGGAGGAAUACCAGUGGCGAAGGCGGCCUUCUGGACUGACACUGACACUGAGGUGCGAAAGCGUGGGUAGCAAACAGGAUUAGAUACCCUGGUAGUCCACGCCGUAAACGAUGUCGACCAGCCGUUGGGUGCCUAGCGCACUUUGUGGCGAAGUUA
rnacentral:rRNA from 1 species